GGGAGCUUGCUCCCGGAUGUUAGCGGCGGACGGGUGAGUAACACGUGGGUAACCUGCCUGUAAGACUGGGAUAACUCCGGGAAACCGGAGCUAAUACCGGAUAGUUCCUUGAACCGCAUGGUUCAAGGAUGAAAGACGGUUUCGGCUGUCACUUACAGAUGGACCCGCGGCGCAUUAGCUAGUUGGUGAGGUAACGGCUCACCAAGGCGACGAUGCGUAGCCGACCUGAGAGGGUGAUCGGCCACACUGGGACUGAGACACGGCCCAGACUCCUACGGGAGGCAGCAGUAGGGAAUCUUCCGCAAUGGACGAAAGUCUGACGGAGCAACGCCGCGUGAGUGAUGAAGGUUUUCGGAUCGUAAAGCUCUGUUGUUAGGGAAGAACAAGUGCAAGAGUAACUGCUUGCACCUUGACGGUACCUAACCAGAAAGCCACGGCUAACUACGUGCCAGC
rnacentral:rRNA from 1 species